CACCCGCGGCCCGAGUGGUGACCAUUUUUAUUGAGCUUAAAGCGUCCGUAGCCGGUCUGGUAAAUCUCUGGGUAAAUCGGACGGCUUAACCGUUCGAAUUCCAGGGAAACUGCCAGACUUGGGGCCGGGAGAAGCUAGAGGUACUCCAGGGGAAGAAGUAAAAUUCUGUAAUCCUUGGAGGACCACCAGUGGCGAAAGCGUCUAGCUAGAACGGACCCGACGGUGAGGGACGAAGCCCUGGGGCGCGAAC
rnacentral:rRNA from 1 species